rnacentral:lncRNA from 12 species
UGCUGAUCCUCCCCGUGGCGAAGUUACUUUCAAGUCAGUGAAAGUUCUUGGCCCGCAAUGAAAAGUCUUUGCCAAUUAGCGCUCAACAACUUCAAUUCAUCCCUCCUGGUUCAAGAUGAGUAGGAACCUAAUAAGGCUGUGAUAAAAGGGCAAAAGGCACCGAGUACCCAAAGGGGAUUAAUGGGCUCUUCCAUUUAUUUGUCUUCCUAACAGCUGAACUGUUACAAGUAUUGGCGGUGUUCAAACGCGGGCGCCGGGCUCUGCAAUGGCCAACUCCAGCUCCCGGCCCUGAGGGGCGAGGGCUUCCCCCUGGGCGAUGCCAAAACCAACAAAGCCCCGGGGAUCAGGUCUAGGCAGCAGGAGCCUGACUAAUUAUUAGGACCCGUUUUGCAAG